rnacentral:rRNA from 1 species
ACUGGUUGACCUCGGAUCAGGUAGGAAUACCCGCUGAACUUAAGCAUAUCAAUAG